rnacentral:rRNA from 1 species
GAUGAACGCUAGCUACAGGCUUAACACAUGCAAGUCGCGGGGCAGCAUGGGGGUUGCUUGCACUCCCCGAUGGCGACCGGCGCACGGGUGAGUAACGCGUAUCCAACCUGCCCUUCACCACGGGAUAACCCGGCGAAAGUCGGACUAAUACCGUAUGUUGUCCAUUGACGGCAUCCGAUUUGGACGAAAGGUUUGGCGGUGAAGGAUGGGGAUGCGUCCGAUUAGCUGGACGGCGGGGUGACGGCCCACCGCGGCGACGAUCGGUAGGGGUUCUGAGAGGAAGGUCCCCCACACUGGAACUGAGACACGGUCCAGACUCCUACGGGAGGCAGCAGUGAGGAAUAUUGGUCAAUGGGCGUAAGCCUGAACCAGCCAAGUAGCGUGCAGGAUGACGGCCCUAUGGGUUGUAAACUGCUUUUAUGCGGGGAUAAAGUGGCCCACGUGUGGGUUUUUGCAGGUACCGCAUGAAUAAGGACCGGCUAAUUCCGUG